AUAUUUUUUUCUUUUUCUUGCAGGUGGUUCGGAUAGCAAUAAGGGGAAAAGUAAGAAAUGGCGAAAAAUACUACAAUUCCCUCACAUAUCACAGUGUAUACACUUGAAAGACAAAUUAGACAUAAGCUAUGGUUAUGUGAUCGAUCAACAGCCCAUCGGACGCGAACUGUUUCGACAGUUUUGUGAAAGUAAACGGCCCCUAUACUUCCGUUAUAUAUCAUUUCUGGAUCAAGUGCAAAAAUAUGAAGUGGAAUACGAUGAGAAUCGUAUAACAAUAGCCCAUGAUAUUGGUUGUAGAUUUCUGGAUAUUGAGAGUCCAUCGACGGUGGUACUCAACAAUGGCAAUGCCGAGGA